rnacentral:rRNA from 1 species
GAGUUUGAUCGUGGCUCAGGACGAACGCUGGCGGCGUGCUUAACACAUGCAAGUCGAACGGAAAGGCCCUGCUUGCAGGGUACUCGAGUGGCGAACGGGUGAGUAACACGUGGGUGAUCUGCCCUGCACUUUCGGGGAUAAGCUUGGGAAACUGGGUCUAAUACCGGAUAGGAGCCAUCUUUAGUGUGGUGGUUGGAAAGUUUUUGUU